UAAGCGGAGGAAAAGAAACUAACAAGGAUUCCCCUAGUAGCGGCGAGCGAAGCGGGAAGAGCUCAAAUUUAUAAUCUGGCACCUUCGGUGUCCGAGUUGUAAUCUCUAGAAGUGUUUUCCGCGUUGGACCGCACACAAGUCUGUUGGAAUACAGCGGCACAGUGGUGAUACCCCCGUACACGGUGCGGACGCCCAGCGCUUUGUGAUACACUUUCAAUGAGUCGAGUUGUUUGGGAAUGCAGCUCAAAUUGGGUGGUAAAUUCCAUCUAAAGCUAAAUAUUGGCGAGAGACCGAUAGCGAACAAGUACCGUGAGGGAAAGAUGAAAAGCACUUUGGAAAGAGAGUUAACAGUACGUGAAAUUGUUGGAAGGGAAACGCUUGAAGUCAGACUUGCUUGCCGGAGCUUGCUUCGGUUUGCAGGCCAGCAUCAGUUUUCCGGGGUGGAUAAUGGUGGUUUGAAGGUAGCAGCCUCGGCUGUGUUAUAGCUUUCCACUGGAUACAUCCUGGGGACUGAGGAACGCAGCGUGCUUUUUGCGAAGGUUUCGACCUUUUCACGCUUAGGAUGCUGGUGUAAUGACUUUAAACGACCCGUCUUGAAACACG
rnacentral:rRNA from 1 species